GAUAAAUCUAACCUACAGAUACAUCUAUUUACAUUUUACCCAUUUUCAUUUAAAUUUUCAAAACAACGUGCAAUUAUUUUUUUAAAUCUUAGUAAGUGCAUUCUAAACAGUAUUGCAUUUUUAUAAGUAGGAUAAUCUACGAAUUCCUAAACAGGACCUACUGCAAAGAAAUAUGAAUUAUUUUUUAAGGAAGGCAGUGCUUCGUAGAGAGUGUUUGAUCUUCUGCAAGAAUUAAAUAGUGUUGUAGUAUCCAUUAUUUAUUAACAAAGAGUUGAUCCCAAAGUCCUUCA
rnacentral:lncRNA from 1 species